UAUUAUUUCCAUUUUAAGAUGGGGAAACUGCAGCACAAAGACUGAAUAUGAAUUGUCCCAAAUCACAUCACUGCCGAGAGGCAGAUCCAGGAUUCAAACCAGCCUGUCACUGAGAAGCUGUGGCUGGCUCUCCGUGUAUACUGACUGACUGCUUAUGCCUUGACAUUGCAGGGCCAAACAUCCUCUGGAACAGAAUGAUGAGAUUAUGUACUCCAUGACAGCGACUUUUGUGUCUUUAGCAGCUAUGAUAGUUCCUGGCACAAUAUCGAUGUUCAUUAAAUGUUUGCCAGAUGGACAAUUAAAUGGAUUUGCCAAAUGGACAAAUAAACUAUCUCUGAACACCCAAUUGGAACGCUUGAUCUGAUACAUUUUUGUAAUGAAGAAGUAACGUCUAAAAUGGGUUAGACAGAGGUUAUGGAUUUUGGGGAAGAAUACCACAGAGGUGAAGAGCCCUUCUUAUCACAUCCUAUCCGGGGUGCAUGCCAUUCCUGAAGAUGCUAACCUCGAUCACUUGGUUAAUAUGGCAUCUGCCAGGAUUCUCCACUGGAAGUGUCACCUCUGUUAGGUAGAGUCACUAAGUUCAACCUGUGAUAUUGUGGUUUAUAAGCAAUAUGUAUUUGGUCAUUCAGAUCGAAGAAAGAGUGAAGAUGGUGAAUAUAUAAAAUGGAGUCAUUUUAACCAAACUGUUAAAAUUAUUAACAAUAUGAAGUUCAGCUGUCGCAUGAAGAAAGACUCCAUUCUUUUUCUAACUAGCCUGGGAACUUAAACUUUUUUGAAUUUUCCAGUCCUGCAUCAAUGCCUGGAUAUACAUCUGGACCUCCAGGUAACCCUCUAUUUAACCCUCUAGUUAUCUAGUGUAUGUGAAGGACUCACAUAUACAUCCACAUGACAUCCAUUAUCCAGACAACCAGGAAGUUACCAGACAUCCUGCCACCUAUCUUCUGGACCACCUGGCAUCCAUCAUCCAGACUGCCUGACAUCUGACUGAUACCUGUCUUGGACUAAUGCUAGGACUAAGAAUGCAAGACUGAUAAUUUUCAAGAAUGUACUGUUUAUUAUAAGAACUUUUUUCUUUCAUCUUUGGAACACUCCUGGGUUUUUGUCUAGCUGUGUUCCCACUUUGCAAACUAUAAGACCCUUGAAUAAAUCUCUAUCAUGUAUUUCUAGCAAAGCCUCCAGACUUUUUUUGAGUUUGUCUGACAAGAUGAGCAAAAUAUAUUUC